AUUGGCCGUUAAUUUUGACACAACACAUAUAAAAAGUAAUUUGCACUUAAAAUAAAAUAAAUGAAUUAAAUAAUAAUAAAGCUAUCGCUCUCUCAGAACAGAGAAGUGAGAAGUGGGAAGUGAAGAAGGCCGCUGCUGUUGCUUUUUUGGCUCUUCCGUGUUCAACAGAAAAGGGUCACACUCACAUCAAAAUCUCCGCAAAAUCAACAAACAAGGUAAAUUGCGUGUGAUUUCAUCAUUAUCAAAUCUCAUCUCUGCAUGCUCUUUUCUAUGCAAAAUCCAAAUCUUUGCCUUUCGUUAAUGCCAUUCAAAUUCCAACACCAACUGCUGAUUUCGGUUAAGGUGAAAUAUCAGAAAUGUGGAAGCUGAAGAUCGCCGAAGGAGGUAAUCCCUGGCUCAGAACAACCAACAAUCAUGUUGGAAGACAAAUAUGGGAGUUUGAUCCCAAUCUCGGUUCUCCUGAGGAGCUUUUGGAGAUCCAAAAUGCUCGUCAAAAUUUCACCAGUAAUCGCUUUCACCAAAAGCAUAGCUCAGAUCUGGUCAUGCGCAUUCAGUUUGGCAAGGAAAAUGCAUUGGCUGAGGUAUUGCCUCAAGUCAAAGUGAAAGACACUGAAGAUGUUACUGAGGAGGCAGUGACUACCACUUUGAGAAGGGCUUUGAAUUUCUAUUCCACUAUUCAGGCCCAUGAUGGACAUUGGCCUGGAGAUUAUGGGGGGCCUAUGUUUCUUUUGCCUGGCUUGGUUAUAACUCUUUCUGUCACUGGAGCACUGAAUGCAGUUUUAUCUAAGGAACAUAAACGGGAGAUGUGCCGCUACCUGUACAACCAUCAGAACAGAGAUGGUGGAUGGGGCUUACACAUCGAGGGGCCGAGCACCAUGUUUGGUAGUGUCCUGUGCUAUGUCACUCUAAGGUUGCUUGGCGAAGGGGUUAAUGAUGGGGAAGGGGCCAUGGAGAGAGGACGUAGUUGGAUUCUGGACCAUGGUGGUGCUACUGCAAUAACAUCAUGGGGAAAAAUGUGGCUUUCAGUACUGGGAGCAUUUGAGUGGUCUGGCAAUAAUCCCCUGCCCCCUGAAAUAUGGCUUCUUCCGUAUAUUCUCCCCUUCCAUCCAGGGAGGAUGUGGUGUCACUGUCGGAUGGUCUAUUUGCCAAUGUCAUAUUUAUAUGGGAAGAGGUUUGUUGGCCCAAUCACACCAACAGUUUUAUCUUUGAGAAAGGAGAUAUUUACUGUCCCAUAUCAUGAAAUAGAUUGGAAUCAAGCACGCAACCAAUGUGCAAAGGAAGAUUUGUACUACCCACAUCCCUUGGUGCAAGAUGUACUUUGGGCACUUCUUGAUAAGUUUGUUGAACCUAUUUUACUGCGUUGGCCUGGAAAAAGGUUGAGAGAAAAGGCCCUUCAUGUUGCAAUUGAGCACAUACACUAUGAAGAUGAAAACACUCGUUACGUAUGCAUAGGACCAGUGAACAAGGUGUUAAAUAUGCUCUGCUGUUGGGUGGAGGACCCAAAUUCAGAAGCUUUCAAGCUACAUCUUCCGAGAAUAUAUGAUUACCUCUGGAUCGCUGAAGAUGGAAUGAAAAUGCAGGGUUAUAAUGGAAGUCAAUUGUGGGACACAUCUUUUGCAGUUCAAGCAAUUUUGUCAACAAAUCUUGUUGAGGAAUAUGGUCCAACUUUAAGAAAAGCACAUACAUACAUUAAAAAAUCGCAGGUUUUGGAAAAUUGUUCCGGAGAUCAUAAACUUUGGUAUCGUCACAUUUCAAAAGGUGCAUGGCCCUUUUCAACUGCAGAUCAUGGAUGGCCCAUCUCAGACUGCACUGCAGAGGGAUUAAAAGCCGUUCUCUUGCUAUCAAAAAUUCCCUCAGAGAUUGUUGGGGAAGCAUUAGAUGCAAACCGUUUAUAUGAUGCAGUGAAUGUUGUUCUGUCAUUGCAGAAUGGUGAUGGCGGCUUUGCCACAUAUGAGCUCACAAGAUCUUACAGGUGGUUGGAGUUGAUCAACCCUGCUGAAACUUUUGGUGACAUUGUCAUUGAUUACCCUUAUGUUGAAUGUACUUCUGCUGCAAUUCAAGCUCUGACAUCAUUUAAUAAACUACAUCCUGAACAUCGGCGAGAGGAAAUAGAAAGUUGUAUCAAAAAGGCAACUGAGUUCCUAGAAAAAAUACAGGCGGAGGAUGGCUCAUGGUAUGGCUCAUGGGGUGUUUGCUUCACCUAUGGUACAUGGUUUGGCAUAAAAGGGUUGGUGGCUGCUGGAAAGAACUUAAAUAAUUGCUCUAGUAUCCGUAAAGCUUGUGAUUUUCUUCUUUCUAAACAGUGCCCUGCUGGUUGCUGGGGAGAGAGUUAUCUUUCAUGUCAACAAAAGGUUUAUUCCUAUCUUGAAGGCAACAAGUCUCAUGUGGUCAACACUGCUUGGGCUAUGUUGAGUCUUAUUGAUGCUGGACAGGCUGAGAGAGAUCCAACACCGUUGCACUGUGCGGCAAGAUAUUUAAUAAAUGCUCAGAUGGAAAAUGGAGAUUUUCCACAGCAGGAAAUCAUGGGAGUUUUCAACAAGAAUUGUAUGAUCACUUAUGCAGCUUACAGGGAUAUUUUUCCCAUUUGGGCAUUGGGAGAAUACCGUUGCCGGGUAUUGCAGGCUUCGUAAAAUAACCAAUGGAAAUAAUGCCAUUUCUGUUUGGCCUCUUAGCUGGUUUUCUCAGUUUUGGGAAAGAUAGUUGGGAUUGAGCUGUAGCAUUUUAAUGAAGAAAAAUAAAUUAACGGAAAUUAUUAGCGUUUACUCUUUGAUCUUUUUUUGGUCAUUAUUUUUAUUCAAUGGAAAUUAUUGGUUUCAAACAAUCAUGUUAUAUUUUGCUUGUCCAAGGAAUCAACUAAGCUUUUGCUCACGUAUAUAAA
rnacentral:misc_RNA from 1 species